rnacentral:rRNA from 1 species
CCAGGGCCAUGCUCUAGUACGGCGAGUGAGCAGCAAUAGCUCAAUUUGAAAUCUGGCGUCUUCGACGUCCGAGUUGUAAUUUGUAGAGGAUGCUUCUGAGUAACCACCGACCUAAGUUCCUUGGAACAGGACGUCAUAGAGGGUGAGAAUCCCGUAUGCGGUCGGAAAGGUGCUCUACACGUAGCUCCUUCGACGAGUCGAGUUGUUUGGGAAUGCAGCUCUAAAUGGGAGGUAAAUUUCUUCUAAAGCUAAAUAUUGGCCAGAGACCGAUAGCGCACAAGUAGAGUGAUCGAAAGAUGAAAAGCACUUUGGAAAGAGAGUUAAAAAGCACGUGAAAUUGUUAAAAGGGAAGGGAUUGCAACCAGACUUGCUCGCGGUGUUCCGCCGGUCUUCUGACCGGUCUACUCGCCGCGUUGCAGGCCAGCAUCGUCUGGUGCCGCUGGAUAAGACUUGAGGAAUGUAGCUCCCUCGGGAGUGUUAUAGCCUCUUGUGAUGCAGCGAGCGCCGGGCGAGGUCCGCGCUUCGGCUAGGAUGCUGGCGUAAUGGUCGUAAUCCGCCCGUCUUGACCC